GCUCAGCCUCUGGGUAUUAAUCUGCUGAGCUGGUGGCCACCUAAAUACAAUCGUCCUGUUCCCCUCAUUGGUCUCUCCGGUCUCCUGAUUCCAGCCACAUUUUGGUGAGCCAGCCAGGAGUGAAGACGACAGGUUUGCUGUCUCCUUUGCCUGUGGGUCUGGGGCCCCAGCCUGGGGGAGACCCGUGACUCCAGGCAUGCUAUCAGGACAACUUCAACCCGAGGGGAGAUCAGCUCUCCCGCAACCUGGUGCCGCUCUCUGACAGCACAACAGAACCUAAGGGGCUACAGGAUGAUUCAAGGAACAGUGUGCUACAGGACCUCGGUAUUCCUGCUGAGAGUCAUUUCCUGUGCUGGAUUUACCAUCACAGGGACCAGAUUUAUAGAAAAAUGAACAUGUAUUGUUGCUAAAUGGAGUUGGUCAUGGAGUGGAAACUAACAAUAUGUUCACCUGUAAGUUUUUAAGUGCUGUGCCAAGAAAGCCUCUUUGGAGGCCAUUGCCAUAAUCUACUGUUUACAUUUGUGCAUUUAGUUUCCGGGAAAUAUUUUUUAAACCUAUCCUAGGAGCUAUUCAGAACCAUAGAGGCUAUUUCAGUUCCCCUAUCGACUGUGAAAUGGAGAUCUACAUUCAAAAUUUAGCCUGAGUUCUUUAGAAUCCUAGUGCAUGCAAUUGUGAGCUCUAAAACAAUGUGGUUAUAUCUGCUUUGGGAAAUCUAGUAUUCAAGUAGCUAAAUUUAGAGUUUUUGCCAUUAUAGAAGAAGUGUUAACUGUGCAAAAUCAUUUGCUAAUGAGUAUCAAGCUUUCUGGGAACGUUUAUAUGAUCUGUAACAGUAAACAAACUACACACAAUUUUCAGGGUGUUACGUAUAUUUGCCCAAAGUGGAUUAUCUGUAAUAUCUACACUAACUUAACUAUCAUUUAUUUUCUGAUAUCAGAAGAUUUCAGAUUUAACUUUUAAUUAGGCAUUUUUUCUAUGAGGAAGGUUGAGCUGAAGGAUAAAUGAAACAUAAUUGCUUUAUUAUGUGUUACCUAUCAGGCAAGUUACCUUUGAGUUACUAGCACUCGCAUGAGAGCAAUGAAGCUGAAAACAUUUUAGGGAAAAUUCAAAUAGGUUGGCAUAGCUGGUAUGUUUGGGGCUGAUAAAGAGGUUGAUGAAGAAGAGCUAGGAAGCACAUAAUGUAAGUCAAACCUGAGUUGAAGAAACAGAGAUUUGUGCUCUGAGAACUUAUUGGAGGACCAGCAACCUUGCUCACAGGGUUACGCCUUCAGUGCUAUUGAAAGCACAUACUUGGGACUUAACAUCUGAUAGUUAAGAAAGAUAAUCUGAUAAUAAGAAGUUUUAGUAUUAAAAAAUAGGCAUUUUAAGCUCCUAUGUUUAAUGGUUCCUGGAUAGAAAACCAUUGCUGUUUUUUUCCCCCUCUGGAUAUGUAGAAAUUAACGGGAAAGUUGUUUGAACAACAGUAUGCUACACCUUGAAUCUAUUUUAGGAACAUUCUUUCAUGGCAUAUAUUCACUUGAUCAUAAAAGGUGGUUCUCAUUCAGGCAGAUAAACAAAAAGCACAAAAAA
rnacentral:lncRNA from 1 species